rnacentral:rRNA from 1 species
UCGAGGGGCAGCAGGGUAUUUAUACCGCUGGCGACCGGCGCACGGGUGAGUAACACGUAAGAAUCUGCCUGAUGGACUGGGAUAGCUAUUAGAAAUAGUAGGUAAUACCGGAUAAGCCCGAGAGGGGAAAGCUAUGUAUGUAGUACCAUUAGAUGAGCUUGCGUACCAUUAGCUAGUUGGUAAGGUAAUAGCUUACCAAGGCAACGAUGGUUAGCCGGCCUGAGAGGGUGAACGGCCACAAUGGAACUGAGACACGGUCCAUACUCCUACGGGAGGCAGCAGCUAAGAAUCUUCCACAAUGGGCGAGAGCCUGAUGGAGCGAUGCCGCGUGAACGAUGAAGGCAGAAAUGUUGUAAAGUUCUUUUAUAAGGGAAGAAUAACGGUAGGAGGUAAUGCCUAUCAGAUGACGGUACCUUAUGAAUAAGCUUCGGCUAACUACGUGCCAGCAGCCGCGGUAAUACGUAGGAAGCAAGCGUUGUUCGGAAUUAUUGGGCGUAAAGGGCAUGUAGGUGGUGUCAUAAGUGUGGAUUGAAAUACCGGAGCUUAACUCCGAGUCUGGUCUGCNAACUGUGACACUAGAGNAUAGAAGGGGAGACUGGAAUUCCGCGUGUAGGGGUGAAAUCUGU